UAUGAAGGGGGCUAGCGUUGCUCGGAAUCACUGGGCGUAAAGCGCACGUAGGCGGCUUCUUAAGUCAGGGGUGAAAUCCUGGAGCUCAACUCCAGAACUGCCUUUGAUACUGAGGAGCUUGAGUCCGGGAGAGGUGAGUGGAACUGCGAGUGUAGAGGUGAAAUUCGUAGAUAUUCGCAAGAACACCAGUGGCGAAGGCGGCUCACUGGCCCGGUACUGACGCUGAGGUGCGAAAGCGUGGGGAGCAAACAGG
rnacentral:rRNA from 1 species